ACUUGUGAUGUCAUAAUCCUAUUCCAUUUCCGAAUGCACCAUGUGGAAUAAACCCAACUGAAGAU